rnacentral:rRNA from 1 species
CCUGACUGCUAUCGGAUUGAUACUAAGCCAUGCGAGUCUUUGUAGUAAUACAAGGCAUACGGCUCAGUAACACGUAGUCAACCUACCUUAUGGACGAGGAUAAUCUCGGGAAACUGAGAAUAAUACUCGAUAGACCAUCACUCCUGGAAUGGUUGGUGGUUGAAAUGAUUCGUCGCCAUAGGAUGGGACUGCGGCCUAUCAGCUUGUUGGUGAGGUAAUGGCCCACCAAGGCGAUUACAGGUACGGGCUCUGAGAGGAGAAGCCCGGAGAUGGGUACUGAGACACGGACCCAGGCCCUAUGGGGCGCAGCAGGCGAGAAAACUUUGCAAUGUGCGAAAGCACGACAAGGUUAAUCCGAGUGAUUUCUGCUAAAGAAAUCUUUUGCCAGUCAUAAAACCACUGGUGAAUAAGGGGUGGGCAAGUUCUGGUGUCAGCCGCCGCGGUAAAACCAGCACCUCAAGUGGUCAGGAUGAUUAUUGGGCCUAAAGCAUCCGUAGCCGGCUUUGUAAGUUUUCGGUUAAAUCCAUGUGCUCAACGCAUGGGCUGCCGAAAAUACUGCAUGGCUAGGGAGUGGGAGAGGUAGACGGUACUCAGUAGGAAGGGGUAAAAUCCUUUGAUCUAUUGAUGACCACCUGUGGCGAAGGCGGUCUACCAGAACACGUUCGACGGUGAGGGAUGAAAGCUGGGGGAGCAAACCGGAUUAGAUACCCGGGUAGUCCCAGCUGUAAACGAUGCAGACUCGAUGAUGCAUUGGCAUAAUAGCCAGUGCAGUGUCGCAGGGAAGCCGUUAAGUCUGCCGCCUGGGAAGUACGUACGCAAGUAUGAAACUUAAAGGAAUUGGCGGGGAGCACCACAAGGGUGAAGCCUGCGGUUC